rnacentral:rRNA from 1 species
GAUGAACGCUAGCGAUAGGCUUAACACAUGUAAGUCGAGGGGCAGCAUGGUCUUAGCUUGCUAAGGCCGAUGGCGACCGGCGCACGGGUGCGUAACGCGUAUGCAACUUGCCUCACAGAGGGGGCUAACCCGUCGAAAGACUGACUACUACCGCUUACACUCUAUGUUGGGCUUCCUAUGUAGAGGAAAUGAAAUUCGCUGUGAGAUAGGCAUGCGUCCCAUUAGCUAGUUGGUGAGGUAACGGCACACCAAGGCGGCGAUGGGGAGGGGAACUGAGAGGUGGAACCCCCGGACUGGUACUGAGACACGGACCAGACUCCGACGGGAGGCAGCAGUAAGGAAUAUUAGGCAAUGGGCGAGAGCCUGAACCAGCCAAGUCGCGUGAAGGAUGACUGUCUUAUGGAUUGUAAACUUCUUUGAUACGGGAAUAGCAAGAGUCACGAGUGGCGUCCUGAAUGUACCGAAUGAAUAAGCAUCGGCUAACUACGUG